UACGGGGGGGGCAAGCGUUGUUCGGAAUUAGUGGGCGUAAAGGGCGCGGAGGCGGUCGGAUAAGUCGGAUGUGAAAGCCCUUGGCUUAACCAAGGGAGUGGAUCUGAUACUAGUUGACUUGAGGCUGGGAGAGGGAAGUGGAAUUCCUGGUGGAGAGGUGAAAUGCGUAGAUAUCAGGAGGAACGCCGGUGGCGAAAGCGGCCUCCUGGGCCCAUCCUGACGCUGCGGCGCGAACGCGUGGGGAGCAAACAGG
rnacentral:rRNA from 1 species